GAAGGGGUGAACGGACCCCCACCGUUUUUUAUCAAGAGGAAGAUCUGUAACUCUAUGAACCAAAAAUAAGAUGCAUAAUCAAAUUUAUGCUGAUAGGACCACGUUUUACCAUAGUAUAGUUGAUUGAUCUACAGUUCUGUAUUUUUGGAUACUAAUUUUACUUCGUUUGAACCUGCUAGUGAUUGGUUCUUUUUUGUGUUAAAUUCACCGUAUUUACUGAUCUGAUUUUAUCUUGUUGUUCAGAGUUUUUGUGCUUAAUCGAGCAAUCAGAUGAUACUAUCGUUUAAGGUGGAGAAAUAAGUCUAUGUGGCUCUCUUCAAUUAAUGUUCCUCUGGCGUGUGGUUAUUGUUUCUUUUGACUGAAAUACAAUUCCAUGCCAUCAGUUUGGAUCAGUUCGCAUAGCCUGCUUAUUAUAAAAAUGUGAGCUUCAAGAAGGAAUAAUGUGAUUGGACUGCGCUUGCAGAUUUUGCAGUGAAUCUGAUAGUAUUAGCUGCGUGAUGGUGGGUACAUUCCACCGCAAUGAUCUUAAACCUGCAGUGACACGGCUAGCAGUACAAGCAUCACCAAAAGGUGCUUCUGCCAGCAUUGGUCACUGCAGCUGCUGCUGCGCUCUGGUGUUCUAGGUCUCCCUGCCCCUGCGCAAAUGUGAAACUGUUGAUGUGGAACCUCAGAAAACCAUAUAUGGCCUGUGUUUAGUUCUAAAAUUUCUCUCUCCAAAUUUCACUAUUCACCUAUCACAUCAAAUCUUUUGACUAAUGUAUGGAGCAUUAAAUGUAAG